ACAAAGGAAUCUACCUUAAAGUUUGGUUAAAUGCCUUAUAUUUUAAAGAUUUUAUCGCUUUUAGAUGAGCCUUUGUAGGAUUAGGUAGUUGGUAAGGUAAAGCUUACCAAGCCGAUGAUCCUUAAUUGGUCUGAGAGGAUGUACAAUCACACUAGAACUGAGACAAGGUCUAGACAUCUACGGAUGGCAGCAGUGGGGAAUCUUGAACAAUGGGCGAAAGCCUGAUUCAGCGAUAUAGAGUGAAUGAAGACAGCCAUUUGGUUGUAAAGUUCUUUUACCAAGGAAGAUUAUGACUUUACU
rnacentral:rRNA from 1 species